CCCCCAUGAGGAAAACCCCACGCGUCCGACCCCCCCCGUGCUGGCGCCAGCGCCUGCGAAAGGCUGAACCCACUGGUGACGGCGGGAGGAAAGGGGGAAACCGCGUCUGCAGGAGGGGACGGUCUGAGGGGG